UAUUGGACAAUGGGGGGAACCCUGAUCCAGCGACGCCGCGUGAGUGAAGAAGUAUUUCGGUAUGUAAAGCUCUAUCAGCAGGGAAGAAAGAAAUGACGGUACCUGACUAAGAAGCCCCGGCUAACUACGUGCCAGCAGCCGCGGUAAUACGUAGGGGGCAAGCGUUAUCCGGAUUUACUGGGUGUAAAGGGAGCGUAGACGGCGUGCCAAGUCUGGUGUGAAAGGCCGGGGCUCAACCCCGGGACUGCAUUGGAAACUGGCAUGCUGGAGUGCCGGAGGGGCAAGCGGAAUUCCUAGUGUAGCGGUGAAAUGCGUAGAUAUUAGGAGGAACACCGGUGGCGAAGGCGGCUUGCUGGACGGUAACUGACGUUGAGGCUCGAAAGCGUGGGGAGCAAACAGG
rnacentral:rRNA from 1 species